CUUAUGAUUGAUAAUCUUUUUCUUCAUUUCAGAAAGACCAGACUGAAAGAAAACUAGUCAUAGAAACUACCAGGAGCAGUCAAUUCUGCUUCUGUCACUUCUAAUACACUCACCUCUUCUGUGUGCCUACAUCCACUGGUUGGUCUCCAUAGAUGUUCAGUAAACACUGAUGAACAUCAAUGGGUACCAUGUUUUCUAUGUGUAUUACCUACCUUUGCUUCUUGCACUUCUGUUUCAGACUGCCUCUCUGUUGCCAUUGGUUGCACAGCAACAAAGUGUAACAUAAUAUUGGUGGGAAUGUUCAAAAGCUGUUGCCAUACCACCGGCAUCUACUUGUAGGUCAUGGAGCAGUAUAAUACAUAGAACACUUUUGGAGCAGCCUUUGUAUGAAGAAGUAUGCCUGUUUUCCAAUCAAGAUAAACUACAGAAGUGAAGAAGCUGUGCUGUGUACUCUUCACAUGGGACUUCUGAGACUUCUGCUUUUAGUGUUUGGGUUUUUCUGUUAAUGUUUGUUUCUACCAGUUCUCGGACUGUGUCUUUGCUGUCACAGCUGGAGAAGAUCAAUUUGGACUCUGUAUUGGCAGAAGCAGAUAAUGCCAGAUAUGUUACUGCAAAGAUCCUUCAUUUGGUCCAGAGUCAGGAAAAAACCAAGAAGGAGAUGACUUCUAAGGGUUCCAGUGCAGUAGAAGUUAUCCUGUCAACCCUAGAG